UCACUCUUCUUGUUGUUGUCUUCUUAAACUACACUGAGUUUUCUUCCUGCUGCUCUCCAGACUAAUCAAACAGCACUGCUAACCCAUUUGCAGAUAUACAGUGGUGGGAGAUGUCCACAUUGUGAUUUGCAAGAAGAAAAUAAGUUAUCAGACCUGGAUGGAAUGGUUUCGGAUAUAACAUGUAGUUGGACCUCAAAGGAGAAAAGGAGAACAAACCCUAAGGGAAAUACAUUCUGUAAGAAGCUUUGAGUCUAUUAAGUAACCUCAAUUUAUUUCCAUAGGUUGGGAUAUCAUUUAUCAAUUUCUUCUUUCUUAGACAAGGCAAAUUUUAACAUAUUCCUUGCUGUGUGUAGCUGAUCCAUGUGGCAGAUUGGAUUCUGUUUAUACCAUCCCACAG
rnacentral:lncRNA from 11 species